rnacentral:lncRNA from 1 species
CCAUACACGCAGAAACACAAGCGUAAGCCGCCACCAGCCCACCACUGUCCAAAACUCCAAUUCCAAAAGACCAGCAUCACCGGCACUAGUCACCACCACCAAGCCGCAACUAUCCACCGUAAAAUCAAACCAGCAAAUCGUACCAUCGCUGUCCACUAUACCAAGCCGUAAGCCUCUAUUCUGAUUGCACCAACCACCACUUAGCACAACAAUCUGUGGUCGCGCCAAGCUGCCAAGGCCACCAGGUGAUGCCAGUAAUAUUGAGUUCUGGAAGUUAGUCAAUUUUUUUGAGGUUGGGAUUGUUUUGUUGACAUGAGGGAUGCUGUGAAUUCGUUUGAUAUUGGCGAAAGUUAUGAGAAGUUGAAUAAUUGUGAUUUUUGUUAUUCUUUUAAUUUGUUGAAACGAUUGUUCGAUAUUCUGUGGAAUCAAAAUUUUGUAACCCCUAAAUUCACAGUCUUUUUCGAAUCAAUGUGAAUUUAAAUCAUUUCUUUAUUCUAAUAUUCUCACAUUUAAAUCGUUUCUUUAUUCUAAUAUUCUCAAGAAACAAUGGAAUAUAAAAUAUUAAACUUCCACUACAUUAAUUUAGUAUCAGAGUCGAAAACCUACUUGAAAUUAUUGUAGACACUCC